CGGGGCCUCUGGGGCGCUCGCAAUUCUGCCUUACUGCGUGGGUCGGCGAGUCGCGGUCGCCUGGAGCAAGGAAUGGCACACAAUCUCAAAGACAAGAAACUUCUAGAAAAUGCAAGGCCAGUUGUGUCGGUGGAUCCUUGCGUUAGUAUUUACAGUGCUCUGGGCUACCCCCAUUCAUGGAUGACUUUCAUCCCAACGUCAAAGUAGUGCAUCUGCCAUCGAAUACUGUGUCAUUCAUCCAACCUAUGGACCAGGGAGUUACAGUGACUUUCAGGAAAUAUUAUUUACAUAAUACUUUUCGUCAGGCGGUAACGGCAAGUGACGAAUCAGAAACAACCUUGUGACAAUUUUGGAAGGACUAUAACAUCUACAAGGCCAUAAAAACCAUUGAUUUUGCUUGGUGUGAGGUUAUGGCCGUCACCGUGAAUGGGGUUUGGAAGAACCUUUGUUCAUGAUUUUCGUGUAUUUGAGAAGGUGGAUGAGGAGUCCAAAGAGCUCUUCAGCAACUUAGUGACCCUCAGAGAGAAGGUGGAGCUAGAUCUGCAAGAGGACGACUUCAUUGAACUCCUGGCUGUGCAACACGAAGAGCAUACUAGUGAAGAUCUGAUGGAAUUGGAGGCCCAGAGAAAGGACGAAGAGAGACAACAGGAAGAAGAAGUAACUGAAGAACCGAAGAGAUUCAUGACGCAGGAAAUAUCAAGGGGAUUUUCUUUAUUUGAGGAGGCACUGUUAGUUUUUGAGGCACAGGACCCGAACAUAGAAUGGUACACGAAGGUUGCAGCGGCCGUUCAGAAUGCAAUCCAGUGCUACCGUGUCAUUUCUGACAAGAAAAAAAAGCUACUACUCAGACAUCACUGGAUCAUUCUUUCAAGAGGAUAGAUAGAAUUGAAUCCAGCGAGCAACCAGAACCUGUGCUGACAGUGUCGGGCGUGAGUGAAAUUGCAUCUUGCCCUCCGUCUCCUAUUGCUGGUGAUCCCACCACCUCUCCCUCCUCCAGUCAGUAACUCUUCUCGCCUGUUCACUCCAUGCCAGCCCCUGUAUGCCAGCUGUUGUACUAUACUACUGUACUUUUCAAGGUACUGUACUGUAAGAUUAAAAAUGUCUUCUUUAUUUUUCGUGUUUUUUUUAAUGUAUUAUUUGUGUGAAAAGUAUUAUAAACCUAUUACAGUCCAGUACUGUGUAGCCAAUUGUGUUAGUUGGGUAUCUAGGCUAACUUUGUUGGACUUAACGAACAAAUUGGACUUACGAACGCACUCUCGGAACAGAACUCAUUCGUAUGUAGGGGACUUACUGUAUUACAUAAAGUUAGUUGAUAAAGCAGUGCCAGGGUUUAAGAGGAUUGACUCUAAUUUUGAAAGAAGUUCUAUGGGUAAAAUGCUAUCCAACCGUAUUUUUAAAUUAAGGUAUGUGCAUUGUUUUUUCAGACAUAAUGCUAUUGCUCACUUACUAGACUACAUUAUAGUGUAAACAUAACUUAUACGUGCACUAGGAAACCGAAAAAUUCAUGUGACUCACUUUAUUGUGAUAUACUAAAUUUUGAUGUUUAUCUGAAAAUUAUAUUUAACUGAGAAUGCUAUACUUUUUAAAAUCUGGAACACUAUUAAUUUACAGAUUAAUUGGUCUGUGUGACCCGUAACAUAUGACAGAGGUAAGGAUAUGUCAGCUUCAAGAUUAGGUUAUAAAAGACAGGCUUCUGCCUUGGACAUCCCCCCAUCCCCUGGUCUCUCACCCUGGAGGAUACAAGCUGCCAUAUUGUGAGCAGCCCUGUGGAAAGACCUAUGUGGCAAGGAACUAAAACCUCUGGCCAGCAUCAAGUGAGGAACCAAUCCCUGUCCACAACAACAAUGUGGGUGACCUUAGAAGUGGCUCCUUCAGCCCAGUCAAGUCUUGAGAUGACUUCAGCCCCAUCCUACACCUGGAUAGCCACCUUGUGAGACUCUGAGGCAGAACCACCCAUCUAAGCUGCCCCCAGAUUCCUUACAAUUGUGUGAGGUAAUGUUGUUUUAUGAUGCUGAAUUUCAGGGGUUACUUGUUAUGCAACAAUAGAUAACUAAUACACUGACCCAAUUGGAUAUUUAAUCAUGAAGCUAUAAUGCUUGAAACAAUUUGGUAUGUUAUGCCAAGAAAUCUACACUUCAGUGGAAUAGUAUUGGGAGUCUAAAAAUAGAAUGUGUAUAUGGGAAUUUUGUAAAAGAUACAGGCAUUAUUUCAAAUCAAUGUGGAAAAGAUUAAUUAGUAAAUAAAUUAUGUUAGGAUAGUUGCCUAGCCAUUUAGAACCUUGCCAAAAAUCAGGAUGAUCUCCUGUCUCUGGACAAGGCUUUUAAAUGAAAUGAAAUGGAAAUUUUAGGAUAUUAAAAAAGCAAAAAGCAUUCAAACAUUUUAAAAAUUUUCCCUUUAUUCUCUAAGACAUUUCUAAGCAAAAUUUUUGUCUUAUUUGCAUUGCAUUUAGUCUCCUGACAAAGAUGAGACUAUCUCAAAUAUUUGUGUAGUCCAGGACCACCCAAGCUGACAUGGCUUGCGUGCUCCUAGAGCUGGACAGUGCUUGCUGGACAACCUACAGCCCAACUUCCCGCGCAGUAUUGAGUGACAGCUUCAAGGAAGAGGGCAAUGGGUCUGAUCCCUUUAAUACCUCCACCAAGCAAAUACUGUGGGCGUUUGGUGACAGUGUAUACUUAACUCUUAUUCCUCACUUGCGGCAGUUUCAACAUGGACAUUCACACAACUUUGUAGCCUCAUUCAAAGUACUAAGGGGCAAGUCUCUCUCAAUUUUCUAAUAGAAACAUUAAAUAGCAAGUGAGCAUUAACAAAGAAAGAUGUAUGACUUCUCAUGGACAUUCUGCGAAACUGCAUGUACUUUUUCCUUAUUGAUAUAUAUGUAUUUACUUUCUUAGAAAGGUCACACAAAUCCUGGUAAAAAUUACUUCAUGAUCAUAAUUUGUUAACUUCAUCUUCUUUCCAGAAGAAAAAUGAAAAAAAUAUAUACAUCAUAGUGUUAGAGACUUUGGCUAGUAUUUCCCAUAACACUAAUUUUCUAAAAAAAUUUAAAUAUAGGGUUUUUUUUUUAAAUACAGGAAAGCACAAAAUGACCCAUUACCCACAAAAUGGCCCACUACCCAGAUAACCAAUUGACAUUAAAAAAGUAAGGCAUGAAAGGAAAUUCAAAUAUUCCAACAACCUUUUAGAAAAACAAGGGUACUACAGUUAAUAUAUACUUGGUGAUACAAUGAAUCCCAAUUAUAGAAAAUGUGUGUGGUAGAGAAUAUAUCUUUAAACUGAUGAAUUACGUUUUCUUUCCAACUUUUUUCCUUUGUAUAUUUUUUACAUAGUUGAUAUGUAAAAUGUAUAUACAUUUUUGUAGCCUGUUUUUUUACUUAAUAUUAUCAUAUAAACAUUACCUUAAUGUUGUUAAAAUUAAUUAUAUUCUUAAUGUAAUUUAUUUAAUUAAAUAAAACUUACUUUAAGCAUUCCAUUGUAACUAGUUAGCCAUUUUCCCAUUGUUGACACUUAAGUUAUUUUCAGUGUUUGCUUUUAUAAUUAAGGAUUUUACAGAUAUCAUUGUGCAUACAGUUUUGUUGACUUUCAGAUUAUGUCCCCAUGAUAAAAUACAGAAGUGAAAUUCUUAAGGGUCUUGCUACAACACAAUAUAAAGAUGGCUAUAGAAAAUAUAGGACUAAACUAGCGAUACCUCAACUGAAUUUGGGGCCCAACAAUUCAGAGUUUUUCUGUUAACAUAAAUACAGGCAAGCAAAGAAAAUAAAUAUU